rnacentral:lncRNA from 1 species
UAACUGUCUCUGGUGAUCAUCCACAAAUGACAGGACAAGCGAGACAGGAGUCCCAGUUUACUUCCUCGCAAGUCUGUUCUUCUUCCAAGAUGCCUCACCGCCUUCUGGAACUGCUUUUUUUUUUUUUUUUUUUAAGGAUUUAUUUAUUUGAAAGCCAGAUUUACAGAGAAAGAUGGGGAUUGGAGGGGAGAGAGCGAUAUCGAGAUCUUCUGUCCUCUGGUUCACUCCCCAAAUGACUGAAACAGCCAGGGCUUAGCCAGGCUGAAGCCAGGAGCCUGGAUCUUCUUCCCAGUCUCCCAGUGGCUGCAGGAGCCCAAGCACUUAGGCCAUCUUCCACUGCUGUCUCAGGCGCAUUAGCAGGAAGCUGGAUUGGAAGUGGAGCAGCCAGGAUUCAAACCGGUGCCCAUAUGGGAUGCUGGCACUGCAGGUGGCAACUUUACUCACUGAGCCACAGUGCCGGCCCCUGGAACUAUUUCUUAGUCAGCUGUCCCUGGGGAACAUCCAAGGUGCUGUGAGAAGCCAGUAGAAGGCAACUGAUGGGGUGAGGAUGAUUUCUGGCCCCCUAAUAUCAUUCCAGCAUUCAUUUGCUCGUGGCUGGGGAGCCACAAGACUUUUCAAACACCUACUUUAAAUAUUUUUGGAAAAUCUGAAUAGGAAGACAUUUCACGGAGUCCAUGGAGACUGUUACUGAGACGGCUGGAAACAGUCAGACGGUCAGACUUAAUGGAAGUCUGGGUGAGACCCUAUGGUUUCUUUGAGAAACAAGAAACCAGGCUGGAAGGAAAUGCCUGCUAUAAUUAGACAAUAUUGAGAUUUAAUCCAGUUAAUGCCAAAGCAAACAGUUCUUCUCUUCUCUCUGUGUGUUUUUCCCCUCACUUUUAAAACCUUAAACCAGUGGCUCCUAAGUGAAGGCUCUUCUUCACAAGCUCCAUGGCGAUGGCUUGCUCCCAAGGCAAAGCAUGCAGCCGGUUUUAGUAUUCAGGUCCAAAUGCAUUUUUCCCAAUGUGUGUGUGUGUUGGGGGGGGGCAUGGAGGGGUGAGGUGGGAGGAGAGUGCUCUAACCCCUGGUUUGGUUCAGAAAGCAUCGUCGUUCUAUGGAGAGGGAGCUGUGGAGGCAGCCCUGGAUGCUGGCUUUCCGGGCAGUGGUUUUGGUAUAGCGUGAGCGCUGCUCCUGGUUACGGAGCUUCCAAGCUUUGUCUGCCAGCCCUCCUGGGGACUCUACAUGCUCCCCGUGCCCCUGAAUAA